ACCUCUUACCAACCUUCAUUCUAUUUAGUCCACAUAUACCUCGUUACCAAGAACCACCGAGAGUCAAAGAAGCCAGCAAGCAAAGGCAAAAGCAAGGGAGAUUCCCAUGUCUUACUCACCUGUUAUUUCACGAGGAAGAAACAGGUUACAUGAAAGCCAGUCGCAGGGGACGUGUGUAUAUAAGCAAGGGUGAGGUUCCCAGACUUCACGGGCAAACGCAAGCACUAUUGGACAAAGUACAGCUGUGAGAAUCGAAGCAGUGACUCUGAGCGAGCAAUCUGGGUGGUAUCCAAGUUGGUGGAAUCCCCGGAGCUAGUGCUAUUGCAGUGUACCUCUUUGCAAUAUGACUACAACGCGGGUCUUUGCAGAGUGGACUUUCGAAUUGGUAGCAAGGCGUUGUUACAGCACAACACGCUCGUCACGACUCUGAAGCCCUUUAAUAAAUUCAACAAGUGGGCAUCCAGUGAGGCCGGGCCCAAGCGAGUGCAGAUAUUGGUGCAGGACUCCCGAGGGUCAAGCCUACUGCUGCGAGACGACUUAUGAACCAGAAAGGCCUAUUGACACCAAGUUCUUAGAGUGCCCAGACGUGCGCCCAACCUGCCCACAAGGCAUCCGCGCUGGGGGACCUGUACGCUGCUCCAACGACUACAAGUGUGCCAACUUGGACAAUUGUUGCUUCGAUAACUGAACACGUAUGCAACCCACCUUCAAUCUUCGGCGGCCAUUUUUAAAGGGCUGUAGUCUAAAGUCAUUCUGAAAAACAUUAA